rnacentral:rRNA from 1 species
CCUACGGGAGGCAGCAGUGGGGAAUAUUGCACAAUGGGGGCAACCCUGAUGCAGCGAUGCCGCGUGCAGGAAGACGGCCCUCGGGUUGUAAACCCCUUUUAUCAGGGACGAUAAUGACGGUACCUGAAGAAAAAGCUCCGGCUAACUACGUGCCAGCAGCCGCGGUAAUACGUAGGGAGCGAGCGUUUUCCGGAAUUAAUGGGUGUAAAGGGCGCGUAGGCGGGGUGGUAAGUCAGAUGUGAAAACUUCGGGCUCAACCUUCGGACUGCAUUUGAAACUGCUGGUCUUGAGUGAAGUAGAGGAAAGCGGAAUUCCUGGUGUAGCGGUGAAAUGCGUAGAUAUUAGGAAGAACAUCGGUGGCGAAGGCGGCUGACUGGGCUGUAACUGACGCUGAGGCUCGAAAGCGUGGGGAGCAAACAGGAUUAGAUACCCGGGUAGUC